UGCAGGGCUCGAUCCCAGGACCCUGAGAUCAUGACCUGAGCCAAAGGCGGAGGCUUUAACCCACUGAGCCACCCAGGCGCCCCGUAAAUAGCUGUCUUAAAAGACAGUCUUUUUCAAGAGAUGAGAUGGUUUUCAAAAUUUCCUGAGCCAUCAUUAACAUAUCAAGAACAAAAUCUGGUGAGCUAAAAUGGAAGUAAUAUUCCAGAGAGAGAGAACUCAGUAAAACUAGUCCCUGCUACAAGAGUAUAGAGGGAUUGGGAAGUGAAUGUGUGGACAGCCCACCUCCUGCCCUGAGGAAUUAUGGGAAGGAGAAGGGAGACACAGGUCACAGAACAGGUAGUGAGGCUGGGAGAACCUUGUGUUGUUCCUAUCUUCUCUAAGGAAGGAGGGAGGUCAUCAGAUCAAUAAGAGGAGGGCAGACAGCAUAGGGUUUUUCCUUGUUUAUGUCAUUAAUACAAUUACAAUAAAGUAAUACAUUUGUAUAACAUUAUGUUUCUCUUGCAUUUGUCCAUAAACUCUGCAGAAGCUGUCUUGUUAUUGCUUAGCAGUGCCACGCAUGUAGUCGAUAAUCAAAAAAGAGAGGGAGAUGUGCAAAGAGACAUCUGAGUACAGAGCUGUCGGCUGCUUGCCCCCAAGUGUUUGAAGCCACCCACACACACUCUGAAGCACAGUCCCCAGCCGCUGACGACUCAACACUGUCAAAUGACAGUCACAACGCCUUCAUCAUUAGUUUGUGAAACGCACUAUACAAAUGGGGCUGCAGGGUGUAAGAAGAAGAGGAAAAUGUAUUUCACGACAGCAAUAUCUUAACUCUGAGAAACAGGAGAUAAAUUGGGCCAGGUGAUUAUUUUAAAAGAACCAGUAGCUAAGAGUGAGAACUAAAAGCAAAUCUCUAUCAGAGAAUUUGAAAAACCCAAAUAAGCCAUGUCAAGCCUUCUUGCAUGAAGACCUCCUAGUGCUUCAGGGAGAAACGUUUAAAGAAGGUUCUAGGAAGAUGCCGAGAGAUGGGGCACCAGGAUCACAGGUGAACAUCUUCACCCAGGGCUCAGCAAACUGACCUACAGGCCAAACCUGGCCCACCACCUAUUCUUGUUAAUAAAGUUUUAUUGGAA